rnacentral:rRNA from 1 species
GACGAACGCUGGCGGCGGGCUUAACACAUGCAAGUCGAACGGAAAGGCCGUGCUUUGGGGGGGUGCUCGAGGGGCGAACGGGGGAGUAACACGUGAGUAAGCUGCCCUUGACUUAGGGAGAACUUCAGGAAACUGAGGCUAAUACCGGAAAGGAGUUCCUGCUGCAGGGUGGGGGUUGGAAAGUUUCGGCGGUUGGGGAUGGACUCGCGGCUGAUCAGCUUGGUGGUGGGGUAGUGGCGUACCAAGGCUAUGACGUGUAGCCGGCCUGAGAGGGUGACCGGCCACGUUGCACCUGACAUACGGCCCGGACUCCUACCGGACGCAGCGUUGCGGAAUCUUGCCCAAUGCCCGGAAGCCUGUUGCAGCAUCGCCGCGUGCGGUGUGACGUCCUUCGGGUUGUAAUCCGCUUUCGCCUCUCCCGAGGCGUUAGUGACGGUAAUGGGUAAAGAAGCCCCGGCUAACUACGUG